CGGCUAUAAUCUUCCUUCAUAAUUUAUCAGACGAAAAGUUGGGGUAUCGAUGCCAUUCCACACGCUUUCUCGCUUCUGGAUCAACUCCUCGGGUGUUUGUUUGUACGCGUGUAUAUAUAUUUUUUUUCAUUCUAGCGGCACUAACUACAUGUUUAUGGCCAACGGGGGAUUGCAAUGAAAUAUUCAAGGAAGACAUAAAAAAAAGGCAACUAUCGGAAGAACUGACAUUAUUGCCCACGGGGGCUUCUACGGUGAGUGGUAAUAAAGACUGAGAAAUUCUCAAAUUUUUUCUGAAGAAGCCUGAAAUAUACAACACAAACACACCAAUGCAACAAAUACAACAAUGCAAUUUAUCAAAUUUUCCUCAUUUCAUUUUAUGAGAAUCGCACUCUUUUGCAAAUAUUCGUUGGACUGGGAGAAAUGAAAGUGUUUCUCGAUUAAUUGAAUGUUAAUGAAGUCUGACAUAUCGACAUGUCAGCCGUUCUCUGUCCAUUAAGCUUUGUAAUUUCGAUCUAUCACUCGCCCUGGGCAUAUUCCAUUUAGUUUCAAGUUUUUCAACAACGUCAGACCAAUCAAUAUAUACAGAAAAUUUCUUGUUGAUGAAUUGAAAAUAGAGCGACGUGCAUGCACUGCCGGUUAAAUAUGUCACCGACUAAAUAUUGACGCAAGUUUAUGAAUACCCGGGAACGAUGAUAGAGUUCUCUAUAAUUCAGUAAUUUCAAGCUCAGCGACUUUAUGUUAUUGACUAUGUUGUAUUCCUCAUUGGCCGCGGUGGGAAAAGUUGGUGGAAAAUUACUGGCAAAAUCGAGAAGAUGGACGAUAAGAAAGAUCCAGUAAAAAAUACGCAACUGUUCGCAAUAGGGGAUUCGUAAGAUCAUUAAAUUAAAAUUCAGCUCCACGGAUUAAUAAUGGAUUAAUCGCUCCCUGACUCUUCACUCAGUGGAAGCCAAACGAUGAGAAUUCUCUCGCAUUUCCAUUGUUUAUCGUCACCCCAGAGACGAAUGUUUGCGCGAAAGGUUUUUGUUUAGCAAAGAAUGUGCCUGAAGUCUGUGGAUUUUCUGGGGGACCACUAGAAAGUUGAAGACAAAUAUUGAGAGAAAUUGGAGUGAAUUAGCGGUAGAGAGACUCUGAGGAAAACUGCUCAAGGUAGAUUACAAUGUACUCAAUGCACUAGAGUUUUCAAGUUUCAAAUUCAAUAGAUGACUAAUGACAAUAGGGGUAGAAAACCUUGGCUUUAUGUCCCCUUCAAUGUUCCAUCAAUUAAGCCAAGUUUAAAACGGAGAAAUUUUCAUUUUUUUUUCACUACCACAAUUCAUUAGAGCUGUACGUGGAACCUUUGUAGAUCGAUUUGGAAAUUAGCUGGAUCAUGUCCCUGUAGUUAGGUUUUGUCGUUUUUUGGUAUUAAUCAUUCAGAAAGAUGGAUGCUAGCUUUGUACGUGAAUACGACGAUAAGUUAAGGAAUAAGGGAGUGACGGGAGGUCUCAAUGUCAAAGUUUAUUUAUUUAAUGAGUCUUGGGUUAUUGGGUUAAGUUAAGUAUCGAUCUUAUCUUCUUGGCGCAGUUAUGAGUUGAUGAAUAUUUUACAGUCAGGCGUUUUGGGGGGUUCCAAAUUCAGGAAAUUUACCAGUCAGGGCAUUUUUGGAUAAUUUAUUUCAAUUAUGAAAUUAUGGAAAUUGAUUAGCUGCGAGGGAAGACGUGCCUUGGGCAUAAAAUAUCAUGAGUACUUCUGUGGAGAUGAAAAAUUGAUUUCAUCAAGAAAAAAAAAUUCUUUCUCCAUUUUGGCCUAAUUAGACUUCCCCCAAAUAAGUACAAUGAGGAUUUUCAUCGUCCUGUCGAUCCUCAUCUCAUCCCUGGUUCACUGCGAAGGGGAUCAUAACGCUUCUGCUGAUGGUAUUGACAAUAGUACAAAAUCAGCAGCGAAAAUCCAUCGUAAUGUCGAAAGGGAGAGGUAUAGAAAACAUGUGAAUGCUCAUGAAUCUUUGCUGCAUCACCUCCUCUUUCCGGCAAAACCACAUGAGGACGUGAAGAAGCCCCCAAUAGUUCCAUAUGUUAAGGAUUUAAGCGACAUACAUGAAAAUCAAACUGAAAAAACGCCCAGAAACGUGAUUCUCGUGCUGCUGGAGGGCGUCGAGAGCUAUGAUCAAUGGCUGAAGUUCAAGGAUAACGCGACUCUUCUCACUGAAGGCGUUCUACAGAAAUGUUCCGAGCAAGUUUCAUUGGGCAAUGUCUCGGGGAGCAGAAAAAUUAAUUGCGAGUGGAAGGAGAUGCUGAAGGACAGUAUCAACGACCUACUACUUUGGGCGAGACAAACUAAACACAUGAGUAUUGGUACAAUCUCCGGAGGAAAUUUCACAUUACCCUCGGUAUUUCACUUCGAAAAUUCGGCGUUUCCUCCCCCCAAAAUAUUCAACAACAAACCCGAGAAAAUACCUCUGCGCUUUCCCGAGCCAUCGACAAAGUCAGAUAAUUACUCUGUCGAUAAUUCCCCUGCCAACGUAAAUCAGUCUCGAGUGGGGAUCCCCUUGACUUUCAACCCAUAUUCUACCGAAGGAGAGGUGAAUGAAGAACCCUGGGACUUCCUCGACCUCAUCUCGAGAAUCAGAUUCACAGUUUUUCAAACUUUUUUGGACUCACUCCAUGGAACUUUUGGGGUGAAUGACGGAGAGGGCCCCCCGUCGGGAAUUUUUCCUGAUAAAUUCCCCAAACAUUCGUCGGGUGUUACAGACAUCGUGGCAAAUACUCUACGAGAUUUAGAGACCAUUCCGUCGGAGAAUGGGUAUUUACUGAUUGCUGUGGCCACCAGCCAAGAAUUAAUCGAAAUUUCCGAGCUACUUCGGCAAACGAUGUCUGCCAAUGAGACUCUGCUGAUCUUAACCGCUCUACCUGGCAACGACGACAGAGUCAUUCCACUUUUUACAAGUGGCCCUGGUUCAGGUGUCAUCAAUAAAACCCGCGCACUCUACGAUAUUCCAAAGGUCAUAAAAUCAACUCUUGAAAAUCCACGUGAAAUUCACCAGAAUCGACCUCCGCUGGCCCUCUCACCGUACGAAACUCCAAAGAGACGAGUCGCGCGUUCUGACGAUGAGGAUGAGGUGAAACCCUGAUCAAAAACCGCACGUCUCUCUUUCCUUUGUCUCUCUCUCUCUCUCUCUCUUGCGCGCCAAAGUUCAUUAUUUAUUUCCGAAUGACUCGAAUAAAACUGAGAUUCUUAUUAUCAGAUGUCUGAGACUGUUGACGAGAAUCCACCGGAAAUCUCAUCGGAAACGAGCUCAAGUGAGGGGAACCCCGAGACUGAGUGCACCUCCAGUGAGGAGCCAACUUCCGAAUUUCUACCUGAACCACGAUCAGA